rnacentral:rRNA from 1 species
GACGAACGCUGGCGGCGUGCUUAACACAUGCAAGUCGAACGGAAAGGCCCUGCUUUUGUGGAGUGCUCGAGUGGCGAACGGGUGAGUAACACGCGAGUAACCUGCCCUUGACUUUGGGAUAACUUCAGGAAACUGGGGCUAAUACCGGAUAGGAGCUCCUGCUGCAUGGUGGGGGUUGGAAAGUUUCGGCGGUUGGGGAUGGACUCGCGGCUCAUCAGCUUGUUGGUGGGGUAGUGGCUUACCAAGGCUUUGACGGGUAGCCGGCCUGAGAGGGUGACCGGCCACAUUGGGACUGAGAUACGGCCCAGACUCCUACGGGAGGCAGCAGUGGGGAAUAUUGCACAAUGGGCGGAAGCCUGAUGCAGCAACGCCGCGUGCGGGAUGACGGCCUUCGGGUUGUAAACCGCUUUCGCCUGUGACGAAGCGUGAGUGACGGUAAUGGGUAAAGAAGCACCGGCUAACUACGUG